GAUUAUUUACCGAUUCAUAUUAUUUUUAGCACUAACCUAUUAAACCAGUGCCCAUUGUCACUUGAUGUUUUCUGCAUGUUUUUGAGUUUUCAGGUUUAUAGUACCAAACGAAGUCCAAUUGCCCUUGGUGUUAUUUUUGUGCAGAAAUAAAAGUUGUCAGAAUUGGACGAAAUUUUUGUGAAUUAUUUCUGGAAUAUAU
rnacentral:lncRNA from 1 species